GAAAGCUUUCUUCCACCUUAGACGCUGCCUCCAAAAGUAAUUACCUCAAGUACUUCGCGUGUUACUUACAUCUCGUGGCCCCCUUUUAGAGAAGAUGUACCAGGCCCGGGAACGUAUUCACCGCGGCGUGCUCAUCCGCUAUUACGAGCGAUUCCGUCUUCAUGCGGGCCAGUUGCCGCCUGCAAUCCGAACCGAGAGAAGCUUUAAGAGAUUAGCUCAGCCUGGCGACUUCGCAACUCGUUGUACUUCCGAUUUUAGCAGGUGUGUAGCCCACGUCAUAAGGGGAAUAAUAAUUUGACGUCAUCCAAAGUACCAUCAGCCACAUUGCGACUGACACACGGCCCAGACUCCCUCAGUAGGCAGCAGUAGGAAAUCUUCGUCCAUGCACGAAAGUCUGACCGAGCAACGCCGCGUGAGUGAAGUAGGUUUUCGGAUCCUCAAACUGUGUUGUUAGAGAAGAACGAGGAUCAGAGUCACUGUUCAUCCCUUGACGGUAUCUGACCUGAAAGCCACGGUCCAACUACGUGCCAACUGCCGCGGUAAUACGUAGGUGGCAAGCGUUGCCCGGAUUUAUUGUUUGAGAAUGCGAGCGCGGCGGUUUCUUAAGUCUGAUGUGAAAGCCCCCGGUCUCAACCGGGACAGGAUCAUUGGAAACUGCCAGACUUGAGUACUGAUGAGUAGAGUGGAAUUCCACGUGUAGCGCUGAAAUGCGUAGAUCUCUGGAGUAACACCGCCUCACCAACGCGUCACCUAUGAUCUGUAACUCAUGCUCAAGUCUCGAACGCGCCGGAUAGCUAACCGGAUUCACAUCCCCAGAUAGUCUACGCCGUUAAUGAAUCAGCGCUAAAGGUUUGCAGGGUUUCCAG
rnacentral:rRNA from 1 species